GCUUGGGUGGUUCAGUGGUAGAAUUCUUGCCUGCCAUGCAGGAGGCCCAGGUUUGAUUCCUGGCCCAUGCA